rnacentral:rRNA from 1 species
GACGAACGCUGGCGGCGUGCCUAAUACAUGCAAGUCGAACGCUUUUUCUUUCACCGGAGCUUGCUCCACCGAAAGAAAAAGAGUGGCGAACGGGUGAGUAACACGUGGGUAACCUGCCCAUCAGAAGGGGAUAACACUUGGAAACAGGUGCUAAUACCGUAUAACACUAUUUUCCGCAUGGAAGAAAGUUGAAAGGCGCUUUUGCGUCACUGAUGGAUGGACCCGGGGUGCAUUAGCUAGUUGGUGAGGUAACGGCUCACCAAGGCAACGAUGCAUAGCCGACCUGAGAGGGUGAUCGGCCACACUGGGACUGAGACACGGCCCAGACUCCUACGGGAGGCAGCAGUAGGGAAUCUUCGGCAAUGGACGAAAGUCUGACCGAGCAACGCCGCGUGAGUGAAGAAGGUUUUCGGAUCGUAAAACUCUGUUGUUAGAGAAGAACAAGGAUGAGAGUAAAACGUUCAUCCCUUGACGGUAUCUAACCAGAAAGCCACGGCUAACUACGUGCCAGCAGCCGCCGCCG